GCGGGGAGAAAGCUGGCUGCAUUUCAGCUAUACCCGGCGGCAGCAGCACAGAACAGUUCAGGAGGAGUGGCUAGCGAGGAGGCAGCAAGCAGGCAGCGUGCCGCUCUAGCAGCACACGGGAGCUGUGGGCUGCCUAGUCCCUCACAGCAGUUAUGCUGUACUGCUUCCCAGAAUGAUUGUGCAAGAACAACCAAAAGCCAACAAUCCUGUUUCACUGUGAACCUGGAAGUUUUUCACACCUGGCUCUUAGUUUGCAUCUCCUCCGGAAUGGAGAUGCUGAACUGGAUCUCCCUUCCUUCCUUUCAGUCCGUGUAAACGCAUGAUGACAACAUGGAUCCUUGAGACACUUCAUCUGCUUCAUUUGCAUACUUGCAAUGUAUUGGUUAAAAACCAACAGAAACCAGGAAAUGCCCUGUUACCAGCUGAUUUGUAGAGCUGUGUGGCAUGGAUUCCCUUGGUGCUAAUGUAGAAGUUAUGGCACAGAGUCCUCCUGAUGUCACAUCAGCGUCGUGAUAUAAGAGAUGGCCAAUGCCAGGAAAAUGUGAUAAAGCUUUUCAUUUCCACUGCCCUUCAGUGUGCAGCAAGGGCAGUUUGGUGUAAUGUAGAAUUAUGGUGGCACAACAAAGCAGUAUUGUAUAUAUAAAGAGUUUUCACUCUGACAUUACGCUUAUAAAUCACUUUU